GUGCCCGUAGCUCAAUCGGAUAGAGCAGCGGCCUUCUAAGCCGCCGGUUGCGCGUUCGAGUCGCGCCGGGCGCA
rnacentral:tRNA from 2 species